GUCCACGCCGUAACGAUGUCUACUAGCCGUUGGUUCCUUGAGGACUUAGUGGCGCAGCUAACGCAAUAAGUAGACCGCCUGGGGAGUACGGUCGCAAGAUUAAACUCAAAUGAAUUGACGGGCCCGCACAAGCGGUGGAGCAUGUGGUUUAAUUCGACGCAACGCGAAGAACCUUACCAGGUCUUGACAUCCAGAGAACUUUCCAGAGAUGGAUUGGUGCCUUCGGGAACUCUGAGACAGGUGCUGCAUGGCUGUCGU
rnacentral:rRNA from 1 species